UCCCUGGAGGACUAGUGGUUAGGCCUCGGCACUCUCACAGCCAUGGCCUUGGUUCAAUUCCUUGCCAGGGAA